AUUGAACGCUGGCGGCAUGCCUUACACAUGCAAGUCGAACGGUAACGCGGGGCAACCUGGCGACGAGUGGCGAACGGGUGAGUAAUGCAUCGGAACGUGCCCAGAAGUGGGGGAUAGCCCGGCGAAAGCCGGAUUAAUACCGCAUGAGACCUGAGGGUGAAAGCGGGGGAUCGCAAGACCUCGCGCUUUUGGAGCGGCCGAUGUCAGAUUAGCUAGUUGGUGGGGUAAAGGCCUACCAAGGCGACGAUCUGUAGCUGGUCUGAGAGGACGACCAGCCACACUGGGACUGAGAGACGGCCCAGACUCCUACGGGAGGCAGAAGUGGGGAAUUUUGGACAAGGGGCGCAAGCCUGAUCCAGCCAUGCCGCGUGCGGGAAGAAGGCCUUCGGGUUGUAAACCGCUUUUGUCAGGGAAGAAACGCUCUGGGCUAAUACCCUGGGGUAAUGACGGUACCUGAAGAAUAAGCACCGGCUAACUACGUGCCAGCCGCCGCGGUAA
rnacentral:rRNA from 1 species